rnacentral:rRNA from 1 species
AGUGAACGCUGGCGGCAUGCCUAACACAUGCAAGUCGAACGGUAACGGGCCCGCAAGGGUGCCGACGAGUGGCGGACGGGUGAGGAAUACAUCGGAAUCUGCCCGGUUGUGGGGGAUAACGUAGGGAAACUUACGCUAAUACCGCAUACGACCGAGAGGUGAAAGCGGGGGAUCGCAAGACCUCGCGCGAUCGGAUGAGCCGAUGUCGGAUUAGCUAGUUGGCGGGGUAAGAGCCCACCAAGGCGACGAUCCGUAGCUGGUCUGAGAGGAUGAGCAGCCACACUGGGACUGCGACCAGGCCCAGACUCCUACGGGAGGCAGCAGUGGGGAAUAUUGGACAAUGGGGGCAACCCUGAUCCAGCAAUGCCGCGUGUGUGAAGAAGGCCUUCGGGUUGUAAAGCACUUUUAUCCGGAACGAAACGCGCUCGGUGAACAGCCGGGUGAACUGACGGUACCGGAGGAAUAAGCACCGGCUAACUUCGUGCCAGCCGCCGCGGUAAAAC